rnacentral:lncRNA from 1 species
GUUUUGGUCGGGUUUUCUAAUAUUGUAUGCAACAUGUCAAGUAUAUUUUUUGUAUGAAAAUUUUUAGGGAUGUACAUGUUAGACUGGCAUGUUUUAUUCAAUCUUGACCUCAUUUUUAUGGUUCAUUGCUUAAUGUUACCUUUUUGGUUUUUUUUGGCCAGUUUCUCUAUUUUCUUGUUUUCAAAUUAGCAAAAGGUCAACUAGGUG